GAACUGCGCAAACGUUAUUCGGGAAUUACUGGGGCUUAAAGGGUGCGUAGGCGGCUAUGCAAGUUGGGGUGUGAAAUCCCACGGGCUCAACCGUGGAACUGCGCCCAAAAACUGCAUAGCUCGAGGGAGAUAGAGGUGAGCGGAACUACGGGUGGAGCGGUGAAAUGCGUUGAUAUCCGUAGGAACACCGGUGGCGAAAGCGGCUCACUGGGUCUCUUCUGACGCUGAGGCACGAAAGCUAGGGGAGCGAACGGGAUUAGAUACCCCGGUAGUCCUAGCUGUAAACGAUGAGCACUAGGUCGGGGGGACUCCCAUAUCCUCUCGGCCGAACAGAAAUAGUUAAGUGCUCCGCCUGGGGAGUAUGGCCGCAAAGGCUGA
rnacentral:rRNA from 1 species